rnacentral:rRNA from 1 species
GACGAACGCUGGCGGCGUGCUUAACACAUGCAAGUCGAACGGGCUGCCUGGUUUUCGGAUCGGGUGGUGAGUGGCGAACGGGUGAGUAACACGUGAGUAACCUGCCCCUCUCUUUGGGAUAACGUCGGGAAAUCGGCGCUAAUACCGGGUAUUCUGGCUUCCUCGCAUGGGGUUGUUGGGAAAGGUUUUUUCUGGUGGGGGAUGGGCUCGCGGCCUAUCAGCUUGUUGGUGGGGUGAUGGCCUACCAAGGCGGUGACGGGUAGCCGGCCUGAGAGGGUGUCCGGCCACACUGGGACUGAGACACGGCCCAGACUCCUACGGGAGGCAGCAGUGGGGAAUAUUGCACAAUGGGCGGAAGCCUGAUGCAGCGACGCCGCGUGGGGGAUGACGGCCUUCGGGUUGUAAACCUCUUUCAGUGCAGAACAAGGCUCUUUGUGGGUUGAGGGUAUGCGCAGAAGAAGCGCCGGCUAACUACGU